CGAGUACCCCAAGCGUUAUCCGGAAUUACUGGGCGUAAAGAGUGCGUAGGCGGCGUAGUUAGUCUUCUGUUUAAUCCUUCGGCUCGACCGAAGAACCGCAGAGGAAACGGCUAUGCUUGAGCAUGUAAGAGGUGAGCAGAACUCAUGGUGUAGGGGUGAAAUCCGUUGAUAUCAUGGGGAAUACCAAAUGCGAAGGCAGCUCACUGGUACAUUGCUGACGCUGAGGCACGAAAGCGUAGGUAGCGAAUGGGAUUAGAUACCCCAGUAGUCUACGCUGUAAACGUUGUUCUCUCGCUUUACGGAGUAUCGACCCUCUGUGAGGCUAAGCUAACGCGAUAAGAGAACCGCCUGGGUAGUACGAUCGCAAGAUUAA
rnacentral:rRNA from 1 species